GCAGUGGUGGUUAAGUGGUAGAAUUCUUGCCUUCCAUGUGGCAGGCGCCGGGUUCGAUUCCUGGCCAGUGCA
rnacentral:tRNA from 1 species